rnacentral:rRNA from 1 species
UACGGAGGAUGCGAGCGUUAUCCGGAUUUAUUGGGUUUAAAGGGUGCGUAGGCGGUCCGGAAAGUCAGCGGUAAAAGCCCGGGGCUCAACCCCGGCGAGCCGUUGAAACUGUCGGACUAGAGACGGCGAGAAGUACGCGGAAUGCGCGGUGUAGCGGUGAAAUACAUAGAUAUCGCGCAGAACUCCGAUUGCGAAGGCAGCGUACCGGCGCCGGACUGACGCUGAGGCACGAAAGCGUGGGUAUCGAACAGG